rnacentral:rRNA from 1 species
CCUACGGGUGGCAGCAGUGGGGAAUAUUGGGCAAUGGGCGCAAGCCUGACCCAGCCAUGCCGCGUGAACGAUGAAGGUCCAUAGGAUUGUAAAGUUCUUUUGUCCGGGGAUAACGGUGGAGUCGCUCCACUUUGAAGGUACCGGAUGAAUAAGCAUCGGCCAACUACGUGCCAGCAGCCGCGGUAAUACGUAGGAUGCAAGCGUUGUCCGGAUUUACUGGGUUUAAAGGGUGUGUAGGCGGGCUGGUAAGUCGAAGAUGAAAUUCCGGAGCUUAA